AAAAAUAAAGAAAGUAGUUUUAUGUUAAUAAUAUUAUGCACAAAAUAAUAAAAAGAAUCUAUUGGUAUAAAAAGAUUACAUAACUGUUUUUUUACUAAAAAAACAUGAUAUUGUGUACUAAAUACCUAUAUGCACAAAAAGAUGAGAAAAAUUAUUUUUUAUAAAGAAAAUAAAAUCUAAAAGAACAGUAAAAUAAAGGUGAACAUAAAAGUCUAUUAUAGUUUUUGGACAUCUCCAAUAAUAAGCGAGAUACGAAUUUUUUAAUUUGUACGAAUGAGAGCGCACCGAAAGAAGUGCAGGAGCUCGAUUCUUGAAUUCAUUCGCAAAAGAAACGUAUUUGCAAAUUCUGAUCUUAUAGAAAAGUUAGAAAUUUAUUAGCUGUUAUAUGGCUUUUAACCAAUAAACUUGCAACUUUUCUGUUUGAAAGGGUAUUUGCGCAUACGUUUCUCUUGCGAAUAAAUUCAAGAAUCAAGCCUCUGAGCCACUUUAGCUAUAGCACGGCUCAUUGUGUCAAGCAUUGGCUGCCGGUUCGAGCGGCUUAGCGCUACUUUCGGUGCGCUCUUAUUUGUUCAAUUUAAAAAAUUAUUAUUUUGGCUAUUAUUGGAGAUAUCCAAAAACUAUAGUAGAUUUUUAUGUUCACCUUAAUCUCGUCUAUCUUUCUAUUAAGUAUUGCAUACAUUAUACGAGACACCGUGUAUAUAGGGCGUUUUCUGUAAAUGGAGACCUCUCUCCCCAGAAUAUACUUCAAUAUUAAAAAAGCAGCAAGUGCGCAAAUUAUAGCUAAAAACGUCUAUUUUUAAAUGCCGUUUGGUAUUUUUUGAAAAAUUUAGUACAAGAUACCAAUAUGGUCAAAUUGAGACUAUUUUCCCUCAUUUAUGAACAGAAUAUUUGAACAAAAUAUCAAGACACAAUAUAUAGACUUUAAAAUGCGUUUUCAGAGUAGCUGAAAAUUUCUAGAUACUCAUUUUAGUUAAAAUAUUAUUUUUUGAUACUUCGAUCAAAUAUUCUGCGUUGAUACCACUGUUU